rnacentral:tRNA from 1 species
UGGUGAGUUACUCAAGUGGCCAACGAGGGCAGACUGUAAAUCUGCUGGCUUUCGCCUUCCGUGGUUCGAAUCCACGACUCACCACCA